rnacentral:rRNA from 1 species
AUUGAACGCUGGCGGCAUGCCUUACACAUGCAAGUCGAACGGUAACAGGUCUUCGGAUGCUGACGAGUGGCGAACGGGUGAGUAAUACGUGGGUGAUCUGCCCUGCACUUCGGGAUAAGCCUGGGAAACCGGGUCUAAUACCGGAUAGGACUCCUGGCUUCAUGGUUGGGGGUGUAAAGCUUUUGCGGUGUGGGAUGGGCCCGCGGCCUAUCAGCUUGUUGGUGGGGUAAGGGGCCACCGAGGCGACGACGGGUAGCCGGCCUGAGAGGGUGACCGGUCACACUGGGACUGAGAUACGGCCCAGACUCCUACGGGAGGCAGCAGUGGGGAAUAUUGCACAAUGGGCGCAAGCCUGAUGCAGCGACGCCGCGUGAGGGAUGACGGCCUUCGGGUUGUAAACCUCUUUCAGCUAUGACGAAGCGCAAGUGACGGUAGUAGCAGAAGAAGGACCGGCCAACUACGUGCCAGCCGCCGCAGUAACAC